CUGGCGGCGUGCCUAAUACAUGCAAGUCGAGCGAACAGACGAGGAGCUUGCUCCUCUGACGUUAGCGGCGGACGGGUGAGUAACACGUGGAUAACCUACCUAUAAGACUGGGAUAACUUCGGGAAACCGGAGCUAAUACCGGAUAAUAUAUUGAACCGCAUGGUUCAAUAGUGAAAGACGGUUUUGCUGUCACUUAUAGAUGGAUCCGCGCCGCAUUAGCUAGUUGGUAAGGUAACGGCUUACCAAGGCAACGAUGCGUAGCCGACCUGAGAGGGUGAUCGGCCACACUGGAACUGAGACACGGUCCAGACUCCUACGGGAGGCAGCAGUAGGGAAUCUUCCGCAAUGGGCGAAAGCCUGACGGAGCAACGCCGCGUGAGUGAUGAAGGUCUUCGGAUCGUAAAACUCUGUUAUUAGGGAAGAACAAAUGUGUAAGUAACUAUGCACGUCUUGACGGUACCUAAUCAGAAAGCCACGGCUAACUACGUG
rnacentral:rRNA from 1 species